UACACUCCUACGGGAGGCAGCAGUGGGGAAUUUUGGACAAUGGGCGAAAGCCUGAUCCAGCAAUGCCGCGUGAGUGAAGAAGGCCUUCGGGUUGUAAAGCUCUUUUGUCAGGGAAGAAACGGUGAAAGCUAAUAUCUUUUGCUAAUGACGGUACCUGAAGAAUAAGCACCGGCUAACUACGUGCCAGCAGCCGCGGUAAUACGUAGGGUGCAAGCGUUAAUCGGAAUUACUGGGCGUAAAGCGUGCGCAGGCGGUUUUGUAAGUCUGAUGUGAAAUCCCCGGGCUCAACCUGGGAAUUGCAUUGGAGACUGCAAGGCUAGAAUCUGGCAGAGGGGGGUAGAAUUCCACGUGUAGCUGUGAAAUGCGUAGAUAUGUGGAGGAACACCGAUGGCGAAGGCAGCCCCCUGGGUCAAGAUUGACGCUCAUGCACGAAAGCGUGGGGAGCAAACAGGAUUAGAUAUCCCAGUAGUCCCA
rnacentral:rRNA from 1 species